rnacentral:rRNA from 1 species
GACGAACGCUGGCGGCGUGCUUAACACAUGCAAGUCGAACGGAAAGGCCCUGCUUUUGUGGGGUGCUCGAGUGGCGAACGGGUGAGUAACACGUGAGUAACCUGCCCUUGACUUUGGGAUAACUUCAGGAAACUGGGGCUAAUACCGGAUAGGAGCUCCUGCUGCAUGGUGGGGGUUGGAAAGUUUCGGCGGUUGGGGAUGGACUCGCGGCUUAUCAGCUUGUUGGUGGGGUAGUGGCUUACCAAGGCUUUGGCGGGUAGCCGGCCUGAGAGGGUGACCGGCCACCUUGGGACUGAGAUACGGCCCAGACUCCUACGGGAGGCAGCAGGGGGGAAUAUUGCCCAAUGGGCGGAAGCCUGAUGCAGCAACGCCGCGUGCGGGAUGACGGCCUUCGGGUUGUAAACCGCUUUCGCCUGUGACGAAGCGUGAGUGACGGUAAUGGGUAAAGAAGCACCGGCUAACUACGUG